AAGAACUCACACUGGAGAGAAGCCCUUUAAAUGUAAAAUGUGUGGUAAAGCCUUCAUUUCUACCAUUUAUCUCGCAACACAUGGAAAAACUCACACUGGAGGGAAACCUUACGAAUGUAAAAAAUGUGGUAAAGCAUUUGCUUCUUCCAGUUAUCUUCGAAUACAUGAAAGAAUUCAUAAUGGAGAGAAACCCUAUGAAUGUAAAAAAUGCAGUAAAGUAUUUAUUUGUUCCAGUAAUCGAGUCCAUGAAAGAAGUUGCACUGGAGAGAAACCCUUUGAAUGUAAAAUCUGUGGUAAAGCCUUCAGUUAUAACAGUUUUCUUUCAAGGCAUGAAAGAAUUCAUACAAGAGAGAAACCCUAUGAAUUUAAAACAUGCAGUAGAGUAUUCACCUUUUCCAGUUCUCUUGAAAAACAUGAAAGAACUCAUACUGGAGAGAAAACGUCAUGAACGUCAGGAAAGUGAGAUAGGCUUUAUUUCUCAUGCAGACUUUUGAGGAUAUGCACAAAUGCACACGAGAGGAUAAACCAUGUAGACAUAAACAGAUUUUGUCAUCCCAGUUCUUCCUGAAGGCAUGAAAGGACUCACUUGAUAAAAAUGUCUUGAAUGUAAACAGCAUGAGAAAGACUUCAGUUGGCCUACAUCUUUCUGUGUGAAACUCCCACCAAAAAGAAAUGUAAAGUGCCCUCUUCCAGUGACCUGCAGGAUUACACUUGCAGUCAGAGAGGGGUGUAAGGAAUUCUAGUAAGAAUGACCACAGACCUGAAGGACCUUGAGGUGUAGCGGUAACGUUGCUCAAAGGACUUCUUACAAGAUUUUGACCUGGGUUUGUGGAUUUGACUGCAAUUCAAGGAGGCAGGUUAUUUUCUGUAUUCGUUGGUGUGAGGAGGUCAACUUAAUUCUACCUUUUGUAAACCUUUUUUUCGUGAACCAAAUCAUUGUUUUGUAGAACGGAAAAACAAUGUAGUGAAGGUAAGUUAAUUUUUAAGAAGUUCCAGUCAGUCAUUUUAGUAAGAAGAAGGAAAAGAAUGAUUUUUAGAAUUUGGACUUUUAUCCUUUAUCAUUUUUACCUCUAUGGUCACAAAAUACUGUUAGUUUUGUCUUGGAAACUGUACUUUCAAUGAACAAGCCAUCGGACACUUUUCUCUUCAGCAGGGUAAGACCUGGCCUUGCAGUGGAUGCAGCCAGCUCAUGGUCAACUGGAACAUCUUUGCUUUUCCUACUUACAGUCAAAACACCGAUGUAUGUCCUAUGGUGAAUUAGACCCUGUUUACUGUGAAGUACCUCGUUGAAAUACAUAAAUUCUCUCCUUAGUAUUCUACAUAAUAUUUUCACUAUGUCCUUUAGACUCAGCUGAGGCCUUUGAGUUUAGGUAAAUUGUGAGACAAUGCAAACCCAGCCGACAAAAUAGGACCGCUGUCCCACUCUGAAGCCUUUCCUUCUCCAAAACUCUGCUGUUCCUGGUACCGUCUCAGCGUCCCUCACAAGCCAUGCAGUGUGGAGUCUGUGUACACACUGUAGCAGAGCUGAGACACAGUAGGAUCUGGAUACAGAGCAUGAAACAGACAAGUCCUGGCAGUCCUGGUGCUUCUAUGUUUGUGGAAAAGCGGAAGUGGUCACAGUGAAGCUUUGUUUUAUAUAAUAGAAAUAAAGCCUUUGAAGAAAAGUAAAAAAUAGCAUUGAGCUAUUAGGCUGAGGUGUGUAUAUAUCUUUUCUAUGAGUGUAGGAGUGAGCGAGGAUGUCAUUAUUAUUGUUAUCUGGGACUUGAGACUUCCUAUUGAUCUAAGCCACAGAUGUUUGUAUUGUCUUUUGUUUUUAAUGUCAUUUGAGAGGAUUUUUAUAUUACCAUUAAAUAUUUAACAUGUUAUCAUUUUUGGCAUUUUCGUUUUGCUGCUCUACAGACUGGAGUGUGCGACAUGCACCCCAGUAAACCAUGGAGUUCCUCCCACUUAGAGAGACAGUAGCCUUCAUCUGCACUGUUCUGGCUCAUCCUGUGUGAAUUCUGUGAGUAGAGUGACAUCUCUGUGAGUCCACUGUGAUCUCCCCGUGGAAACACCACAAAGAGCUCUGGCUGGUUAGAGGCAACCAGCCAAGGAAUAAGUGACUGAGCUGGAGAGAGAGGGUGUCAUUGUGAGUGACAUCCUAAUUGAGUGUAAGAGGAGAAAUGGGAAAUUUUCAACAACUUUUCAUCACAGGAGUGGCUGGAAGUCUUUAAUUUCAAUGAUCCAGAAAGCCCCGGAGCCCAGGUAGCUGAUCACAGGUUUCAUUUCCGUAUGCUUAGACGUCCAGCAUAUGGUGUGGAAAAUUGUGAAACAGGAACAACAGCUUCAAGGUUUAAAACAGCGAAGGGAACAGAAUGUUUUCCUGUUUUUUUAGUAUGAACUUAUGAAUUGGAGGGGUUUCUUUCAAAUGGACACCAUAGGAUUGUUCUUUUGAGGUGAUGGAAUUUUUUGAUCUUUUGAUGGCAGUAUUCCUAACAUUUCUGAAAACUCAUGAGAGCACUUAAGUAUAUUUUAUAUAUGUUAUAUAGGUAAUUAUUAGAAAGUGAAUAGUGUACUUGCUUUCAUAUGCUGGAAGAAUGUCAAGGUCUCCUGUACCUGGAUUUUUACGUGUUCAAAUUUUCAACCACUGUGGGAUCCUUCUUAGGAAGAUUGCAGGACUGAGAAGAAGGACUGAGUCCUCAACAGGCUUUUCUUACACCCCUGUCUCAAUUUCAAAAAACACCUUCUAGGGUUGCGCCUGCUCUCAGCUCAUACUCAAAACUAGGAGUGAAGUGAGAGGGCUUCCAGACUCUGUCUUUGAGUUUAAGUCAGGUUCAUGGAGACGUCUUUGGAAAUACCAUGGUCUGAAACGUAAACGUGUAUCUCAAACAGAAUCUGCCUGGGGACAUCCUCAUUCAUGUGUGUCAGCAUCACAUCUCACUGCCAUCCACAGACCAUUUUCAGCUGCUCAUUCCCCAACCCAGGCCUACUCUGUGCCUGCUUACUUGGAACAUCUUUAGAAAUCCACAUGUGUCCCACUGUGCAUUUUCUCUGAGGCAAAAGGAGGGGGCUGUGAGCUGAGAGGGUGACACAAGCAAUGGUAGAAACCAUGUCAUGGGCAGAUUCUGUCAGCCACAGUGACAACCAUUUCAAAUUUAUCAGAUCUGCUUGCUUACUCAUUCACAGGAGACUUAAAAUGGACUGACUUUGAAUUGGGAAACGAAAGCUCUGGAAUCUUUGAUACAACAUUCCAUUAGUGUCCCCUCCCCACAGUCCUUCUCAAAGAUGCCUUAGCAGCCUCUCACUGAGCAACCAAGAGUCUCUAAACCCCCGUGGUGGACAUAAAUUACCCACGGCAUUCUUGUUACAGAACUAUUGUCUUCAUUGGGUGCUGCACACAAUUAGAGAAGCCACUGCUGUCAACUGACGGAGUCUUUAUGUAAAUGGAGUGCCUUCCAGGGCCUGAGUGGAUGAUGCUCCAAGCCAGCUUCCCAUUUUGCCUUGGGUCCUGAAUGCAGGACAUCCCAGGCUGUCUAAUCAGAAGCCUCCUCAUUGAAGAGAUGGGUAUUUACAGCAUGGAGCCAAACAUUGCUCCUCUGGAAUAUCCUAUGAACAAGUGAGAAGUGUUUUUGUUCUUGUCUGAUGUGAUCCAUUCUGAGGAGAUAAUUUCCAUUUUAGACACACUGGCCAUUUGGAGAGUCACUUAGGAGCACAUGGGUGACCAGGGUGUUCAUAAACUUUAUGGACAGUGUGCACCACCACACCCGACAGAGUCCACUGCAGAGAUGCUGCCUUCUGUCACUACAUGAGACAGGCCAUCCUUGAUCAAACAAUGGACUGAAGCCUCAGAGUGAUCAGUCAAACAGCAGUCAUGUUAGGAAAUAGAAAGUUUCUUAGCCCAAAAUCCAACCCGUCUGUACAUUUUUACAGAUCCUGGGCCGUUACCGAUAAUCUAGCUGUUGGUCCCACCAAUAGCACCAACCCCUUAUCCAAGGUUGCCCACUGUGUCUUAAAGAAUUCUGGGAAUAUCUUGCCUCGCAAAUAUCCAAGUACAAGUCUGGCCACUCCUUACUCUGCCCAUAUUAGACCUCAAUCUGCAGAGGCUGAUUUGUAUUGCUCAGGGUGAUAAACUGACUUGAAUUUCUGAGACACAUAUCAGCACCUCAGACCUGAUGGUAUUAACCUUGGCCUUGUUGUCCCACAUAACGUGAAACCACUUACAGACCUCUAUCUUAAGAAUCUAGGCCAAAUUCAAGCGAUUUCCCUCCUCUGCCAUGGUUAACCCAGUGAUGGACCAGUGAACCUGAUGUGAAAAAGCAAGUCACUGGUGAUAUCAGUGGACACACCUUCCAGGGUGAGGAAGGGGUCCCUACAGCUGAUGGCAAAUAGGCUUGGUAGGCCCAUCCCCCCCCCCUUGGGCUCCUUGCUGUGCUCAUACCAUGGUAGAACUUGAUAUGGACAAAUUACUCAUGCCGUCAUACAUUGCCCUGCUGAAGCCAAAAUGCAAGGACUUGCCAAGAUGCUCUAAAUUUAUUGAUAUUAUCAGCUCAAUCCUGAAAAGAGGAAACAUGGGGCUCUCGAAUAUGUUGUUCAGUGGACAUUUUCCCUCUUGUACCACCGCAGGCUACCCCCCUCCUAGGAUGGUCUAAUGGCCUCCUCAGGCCAAUUUGCUUUUUUCUCAGUGGGCCUUCCUGCUGUUGGAGGCAGUGAUUAGACUCAAUCCCAGUCUUCGGGGCUCAUUGCUUUGUUGUCAUCGUCCGGCUCAGUGGCAACUGAUAAAUAGAGGCCUUUCCCUGCUGGACAUUCCAGCCAGAACUGUCACUCCUGCAGGUCUCUGGUUUAUUGUAACAAUGCACCCUGGCCACCACUGUCGUAUCCCGCUGCCAGGUCUUCCCCUCACAUCGCCUGUGGUCUAUGUUCCCUGCGUGUCGAUACUUCAUUUGGGGCACCUCCUUCAAAACCCCUCUGGCUCAUCACAUACCGAUGUUCUGUUUUCCUACCAUUUACACUAACGUGCACAUUGUCAUGGGAGUCACUGCUACUGACCCGGGCACACAUGACGUCAUUCAACAAACAUCUUUCCUGACAAUCAAGAAAUGUCCAAAACAGUCAAAAUACAUGUAGCAGACAGCUAGUGUUUGAGAUGUUUCCCUGAAGGAAAACUCCCUGGCAGCCAUGGUAGCUGCUGACCAUUUGGCUUUAAAGUAUUUAUUACCCAUCUGGGGAGAGCUCUCUUCCUCUAAUAGGCCUGCCUGUGGUUUGUGGGUAGGAAGCUGACACCAGUAACACAACAAAUGAGACAACAGAUUAAAAUAAUAUCACUUAAAUAUUUGAACAGAGUUCUGGAAACAUACUUACACGUUUCUGGAUCCCUCCACACAUUUGGAUGACUUGAUUCAAAUGGUUUUUGGGGCUUUGUCAUCUUAAAUAUGUUUGCAGUUUUCACAUAGCUGUUUAAGUAGUAUUCAAAGCAAAUUUAUUUGAAUAGUGGCAUGAUUCAGUCAACCAACCUCAGGAGUGAACACUAAUAAAGACACUGACUUGAUUUUCCACAUUUGACUCUCAAUCAGCUGUAGACGCCUGCUCACCCUGUCAGGAUCAAGAUGGUAAACAAGUUAUGAAGGGUGACACGUGCCCGUUUGCUUUUUGUGUCUGCAGAUGGGAGGCUCAGACCUUUAAAAUGUGAAGCCUCUAAACCUACACAUCUUAAAUAGCCAGCCUGUGGUCCUUUGCACAAGCCACAUGAAAAAGCUUUCCCUUGGCCUAUUCUCUUUAGAAAGUAUUUUGGAGUAAUAAACUUUUGUAUGAACUUAUUGCAUGUGGCAACAUAGUCCUGACAUCUUCUCUGAAGGUAGAGUAUUAAUCCUGCCCCCAAAAUGGCAAUGAUGAAACAGAAGGUAACUCAUGGAAAAUGUCUUUCUCAUAAUGCACAGGAGCUCAGUGUAGGGAAUUCUUAGAAGCAGUAUAGGAAAAUGAAGCUAAAGUAUCAGCAGAAAAAGGACUAUUUUAUCUAUGAGACGUUUUAUACAAAUCUCAUGGUAAACACAAAACAAAAAUUUAGAGCAGAGGAACCAAGCAUUAAAAAAGAGGAAACUGAGAAAAACAUCAUUGGAAACCGCAAAGUAAAAUGGCAGACAGAAACACAAGGGAAAAGGAAAAAUGGAGAUAUAGACCAAUUAGAAAACAAAAGGCAGAAUGGCACUGGUAACUCCUCCCCGAUCAGUAAUCAACCUAAAUGUAAAUGGAUUGAAAUCACCAGUCAAAAGGCCCAGAGUGGCCGCAUGGAGUAAAAGACAUGACCCAACUCUCCACUGCCUCCAGGACACUCAGCUGAGCUCUAAAGACAAACACGGGCUCAAAACGAAGGGGCAGAAGAGGAGCCUCCAGGCAAAUGGCAGCCAAAAGAAAGGGGGUGUGGCCAUGCUGACAUCAGACAAAUAGACUCCAACCCCAAAACAGUAACAGCAGAGAUGGACGUUAUAUAGUGAUAAAGGGGCUAACCCAUCAGGAAGACAUAACAGUUAAUAAUAUAUGUGCACCCAACACGGGAACACUCAAAUAUAUACAGCACCCAUUAGCAGACCUCAAGGGAGAGAUUGACAGCAAUGCGAUGAUAGUAGGGGAUUUUAACUCCCCACAUACAUCAGUGGGUAGGUCACCCAGGCAGAAAGUCAACAAGCAAACAUUGGCCUUAAAUGAAACACAUUAACAGACACACUUCCUAGAUAUAUACAGACCGUUCCAUCCAAAGGCAGCAGAAUACCAUCCUCCUCAAAGUGCACGCAGAACAUUUGUGUUGGGACACAAAGCAAGUCUCAAAUUUAAGAAGACUGAAAUCACAGCAAGAAUCUGUUCUGACCACAAUGGUAUGAAACCAGAGGUCAACUACAGGAAGAAAGCUGGAGAAAUCACAAAUCUGUGGAGAGAAAACAACAGGCUGCUGAACAACUACUGAGUCAGUGUUGUCACAGAUGAAAUCUUGCCAUUUGUGACAACAUGGAUGGAUGUGGAGGGUGUUAUGCUAAGUGAAAUAAGUCCGAAGGAGAAAGAAAAAUGCCGUAUGUUUUCCUCAUGUGGAGUAUAAAGCAAAAACAAACUCAAGCCCUGUCACCCCAGCUGCCACUCCGAGGGCUUUCCUCCUGGAAAGGAGAGGACUUCAAAUUGUCAAAGCCUGCCCCCAUGGCCUGUUGCUGAAAGUGACCAAGUGCGGGGCGAAUUGGCUCGAAAAGUUGGGACACCGUUUCACUCCCUCCACAUGGAAAUGAGGUGACAUCUAUGGGGCGGUGACCUGACAAUCCUGGGGCACCGGUAACCCUGUCCCAGCUGCUGAGGUGGCUGGAACAUAAGUCAUCCAUGAGAUGCCAGGAGACACAAUGAAGAAGAACUCUGGCUGCUGUCUCUCCCCUCCCCUGAGCACUCAACUCCUGAAGUGGGAUUGUCACUCAGAAACUGGCUUCCCGUUGUCCUCCAGACAACUCCAGGGUCCUGGCACAGAGAUUUUUCCUGAAUGUGGGGGUGAAGCAAGCCAUCAAACACAUAGCUCUUCAUCCCUUUCCAAAGUAUUAAGAUGGCUGGCAGGAGAUCAUGAAAAGUGCAAGUGAAAGGACGCUCUCAAAGAAGUGGAGUUGAGGUAAAAGGCAACUAGGAGUAGAUUUGUGUAUUUCAUAAAGAUACAGGUUAGACUGUGGGCUGACUGGUUUUCUGGAAAGAACCAGAGAAUUAGACUGCUCGGAAUGGGCUUGCAGGGGUCGGAACAAAUAUGCAACAGUGACUUCAGGAAGUGUUUCUACUAAGGAGCAGACUGUUAUUGGACUAACUGGUAGAGCCAAUGAUGCCCCCAGGACCCUGAUGAAAACAGGAGAGCAAUCAGGCAGCAGUUAACUGAAUGGAACCACCGCGUGUGGCCCCUAAAGGAGGAAGAGAGCCCUGGCAAUACCACUGUCCCCCAGGACAGCAGUGGGCGCACCCAGAGCAGGGCCCACCUGAGGAGCUGGGGAAGAGGUUUCACUCUGUAUGGCGGCUGGUGAGAAACAACUUUUGUUCUGAGUUGCUGCCUCAGAGUGUUACAGUCUGAGGCCCCUGUUCACACCCAGAAUCUGAACAGUUAGAAAAGGACCUGAGUUUAGGAUUCUGCCCUAAGUUCCCGCUUUACUUUCCCAGGGCGCCUUUUAAAUUAAGCACUUAGAGUUCAGCCCGGGAAUAGUUAGUGACCUCAGCCACAACGCACUUCAAGGUACCGGGUGCUUGCUCCCUGCUCUCUGUCUCCUGCUCGCUCCUGACCUGGACAGAGGACGACCCUUCCCCCGGCUCACUGCACCCUCAGCCCCCGCUUCUGUGACCUGUGAGUAAUAAAUCCUGUGACUCUGUCCCUUUCGGUGGGUGCAUUGAAACUGCCCCUUCAAUCAAAAUGAGCCUGUGGGUUUCACUUCCCCACAGUGGGAGCUCGCAUGCUGAGGGAGCUCCCUGCUGACCCUGUGUGGGUGGCCUGUGCCCCGUCAUUCACCACGUCAUAAUCUGCCUAUCAAUUCAGUACACCAGCUCCAGCUCCUGCACACAAUUGGCCAUGGGGAUGGGGCUUUGGGCUGCUUGUAUGCACUCGAUGCCUUGGAGCUGUGAAGGACUUACUAACCUCCUCUCCUGGACCGCUCAGUCUCUCUGGGAGGAACUACCGCUUGCUGGGAUCUGCGGUGGGGAUUUCCACUGCUGCAUAAACUGCUGCCGGGUGAAGCCUCGGAUUCCCGCCCUACAGUGUCAGUGCUGUAGGUCAGAGCGCCCUGCAGAGACCGGCCUGCAGGCCUCAGUCUGAGAUACCCUAGGGGACACCACGAACUUGUCAGCACAGCGAGGACACUCCCAAAAGACGUGAGCCACCAGGGCAGAAGAUGCAGACAAAAGAAAGGAGGAAAUGGACUCUGCAGAAGAGACCCCCCAAGCUCUGGAGCCCACAGGGAUGAGGGGGAGACACGGUGGCUCUCCUGACUUGGACUUUUAUGGCUUGGCGCCAAGCCCAGCCUUCCAUCACGGUUGUCACAGCGAAGGCUCACUGUGCAUGGAACACCCUGCCUGACACGCACCUCCUGUUACAUCAAAUUGGAUGGUUCAAUGGGUGUAUCGUUCUGUUGAGAGCCAGGCCCCCACAGAGCCCCUGACCAUUUCCACCCCAGAGGAGACACCCUUGAGGCCAGCAUCUCAGGAGUACUUCUUAAAGGGGGUCUGCUAUUCUUAAGGCCAUGCUGUCACAAUUCAUAGAAAUGACAGCUACAGUACAACAGGCAGUAGACUGCAUCGAUGCUGUAGCUGGACACAGAACAGAGAACUUUCCAGAUCUUGUUUGCCAGUAAAGGUGAAUGGGCCCCACUGCCCCCUCCCCAGAAACACCACAGAGGGUCCCUGGGGAAUAUGGGGGCUUCCAGACUCCUUAUUGGUACCACAGAGGGGUGGCACCUUGUCCCAUCUGUCUCAUGAGAUGACCACCAGGUCUCCCUGCACUGGCAGCUAUGGAGAUCAUGGGUCCCGAAUGACCUAAUUUCAGGACAGCCCGGCCACGAGUUAGAAGCAUUUGCUCAGGCACUGCGGGCUCUGCAAGAUACUGCCGACCCCCCAACCCAAGGAUAGAUGCCGUCAACUCUCAGAAUGCCCCAGCCCUGGCAGCAGGAUCCGGGAUCCGUCCCCUGAUCUCUGACAGUGGCAGCAAUCGAGGCCCCUGUGCUAGGAACCUGGCCAUUCCCCAGAGAGUGUCUCUCACCUGCGGGACAAUCACCCGCAGACUUCUUUAAUUAUCUAUUGGGACACACGUAAGAAACAACCUUGUACUGCUCUCAUUGACCCUGGAGUGCCAGUUACAGUGCUUCCUGGGAACCCCUCCAAACCUAAGCCAGGGGCGCCCUUUUAAUUACCAGGGGUAACAGGUGGGACAGGAGACGGCAUUCAACUUCCAUUGGAUGUUACUGUCCAAACAAUCUGCAUGAAAAACCUUUGGGGUCGGCCCAGUGGCACAGCGGUUAGGUUCGCACAUUCUGCUUCAGUGGCCCAG